rnacentral:rRNA from 1 species
CCUCUCGCCAUAUAUGAGAGGUCCAGCCUGCCCAGUGACUAAGUUCAACGGCCGCGGUAUCCUAACCGUGCGAAGGUAGCGUAAUCACUUGUUUUUUAAAUGAAGACUAGUAUGAAUGGCACCACGAGGGUUAUACUGUCUCCUUUUUUUAAUCAAUGAAACUGAUCUCCCCGUGAAGAAGCGGGGAUAUUAUUAUAAGACGAGAAGACCCUAUGGAGCUUUAAACAAUUAUAGCACUGGCCCACACUUCUUACUCUCCCGAGACAUAAUUAUUAUACAAGCCAACAUGACUAUUAGUUUUAGGUUGGGGUGACCGCGGAGCAAAAACCAACCUCCACGUUGAACCGGAGCUAUUCCUGAGCCAAAAGCUACAACUUUAAGCACCAAUAAACUGACAUCAAUUGACCCAACAUGUUGAGCAACGAACCAAGUUACCCUAGGGAUAACAGCGCAAUCCAUUUCAAGAGCUCCUAUCGACAAAUGGGUUUACGACCUCGAUGUUGGAUCAGGGUAUCCCAGUGGUGCAGCCGCUACUAAAGGUUCGUUUGUUCAACGAUUAAAACCCU